rnacentral:tRNA from 1 species
UUGUGAAGUGCCAGCUGGGAGAGCAUCUCCCUUACAAGGAGGGGGUCGGCGGUUCGAUCCCGUCAUCACCCACCA